CACAAGAUCGUCAAAAGAGUUAUAGUGAUAAAAGGAGAAGACCUUUGGAAUUUGAGGCAGGAGAUCACGUGUUCAUUAGGGUAACUCCUAGAGAGGAAAUUGCACGAGCAAUCAAAACUAUGAAACUAUGAUGCAUAUAUUUAGGGGGAGCCUUUAUGCACACCAAACGCAUCGUCUCAAGUUUUGCCACCAUAAAAAAG
rnacentral:lncRNA from 1 species